rnacentral:rRNA from 1 species
AAUAGACUACCCCGGUAGUCCACGCCGUAAACGAUGAGUGCUAAGUGCUAGAGGGUUUCCGCCCUUUAGUGCUGAAGUUAACGCAUUAAGCACUCCGCCUGGGGAGUACGGCCGCAAGGCUGAAACUCAAAGGAAUUGACGGGGGCCCGCACAAGCGGUGGAGCAUGUGGUUUAAUUCGAAGCAACGCGAAGAACCUUACCAGGUCUUGACAUCCUCUGACAACCCUAGAGAUAGGGCUUCUCCUUCGGGAGCAGAGUGACAGGUGGUGCAUGGUUGUCGUCAGCUCGUGUCGUGAGAUGUUGGGUUAAGUCCCGCAACGAGCGCAACCCUUGAUCUUAGUUGCCAUCAUUCAGUUGGGCACUCUAAGGUGACUGCCGGUGACAAACCGGAGGAAGGUGGGGAUGACGUCAAAUCAUCAUGCCCCUUAUGACCUGGGCUACACACGUGCUACAAAUGGACGGUACAAAAGAGCUGCAAAGACCGCGAGGUGGAGCUAAAUCUCAUAAAAACCGUUCUCAGUUCGGAUUGU